AACUUUUAGCAACGGAUCUCUUGGCUCUCGCAUCGAUGAAGAACGCAGCGAAAUGCGAUACGUAAUGUGUAUUGCAGAAUUCAGUGAAUCAUCGAAUCUUUGAACGCACCUUGCGCCCCUUGGAAUUCCGAGGGGCACACCCGUUUGAGUGUCGUGAACAUCCUUCAACCUUUCUUGGUUUCUUGACCGGGGAAGGCUUGGACUUUGGGGGUCUUUCAUUGCUGGCCUCUUUGAAGCCAGCUCCUCCUAAAUGGAUUAGUGUGGUCUGCUUUGCCGAUCCUUGACGUGAUAAGAUGUUUCUACGUCUUGGGUUUCGCACUGUCGCUUUAGACCCCGCUUCUAACCGUCUUGCAUUCAAGACAGAGUUUUUAAACCUUGACCUCAAAUCGGGUGAGACUACCCGCUGAAUUUAAGCAUAUCAAUAAGCGGAGGCU
rnacentral:misc_RNA from 1 species